UUCUCUGAAGCGAUGGCGACGGCGACGAAGCGAUGGCGACGGCGACGAAGCUAGGGCUUUGACCCGACGAUGCGCUCUUCUUCUCAGGCGACGGCGGAGCUGGUUUCUCCGGUGGCGAUUGAGAUCUACGUCUGGUUUGCUGAUGGUUGGGUUCUUUUUGGGUGCGAUUGGUUUUAUUGGUUUCGGUGGUGAGAGAAGUUUUGGGCCGACAGUUUCGAAGGGGAUUUUCUCUUGCUUCUGGCUUUGAGAGCGAGGAGUUGUUUGAUGGGAGAUUUCCUCCUACGGAUCGUUUGAUUCCUUUAGUUUCUCGUAUUUCAGAGGUUGCUAGUCGAGGGAUGAGCUCGACUAUGAUUUUGUGUUCGCUGGCAACGGAGGCUCUGGGACCACUGCUAGUGAUUGCGAUAGCGGUCUGGUGAAUUGAAGAUAGAGUUUCUCUUCGGGUUCGUUUGAUUUCUCUGGUUUCAUGGGUAACUGAAUCAUUCAGCCGAUGGAUCCAAAGAGGUUAUGUCAUUUUGCAGGGUCUCCGACGGGUUCAAAUAUUUGUAUAGAAGAGUGAGAUCUCUCUCCUGGGUCUUGAUGGAGAAUUCUAUAUUGGAUCUCAAUUGGUUUCAUCGGUUAUUAGGAUUACGCAGGCAUGUAGCCGAUGGUCUUGAGGGAGAUGUAUCGGGGGCCAAUGGAGGAGGCAAGUAAAGAUUGUUUUCCAAGGAAAAGAGUUUUAAGGCUUGGAAAGGGGAACAAAAUCUCAAUUAAAAGCGGUAUUGAGUAGAUCCCGGUCUGAUUUAGGUGUUUCAUGCUAAGGUUUGAAAUGGUUUUGGUUAAGAAGGUUUGGAUCUGAGAUGUCUCUUUGUAAAGGUUCCUUCUUGGCUUUUACGGUGGUUAUAAUUCAGACUUGGUGGUCUUGUCUGGUAAGUCUGGGGGCUUUGUGCUCGAUUUGGUGGUGGUGUGUGGUCAAUCGACUCUGUUUCUGGUGGUGGGAUAUCAUUCAUGAAUCCCUGGAUUCUAUUCGAUUAUUUUUCCUCGAUUGGAACUUUGCGUGUUUGAUUAAUGGGUUUAAUCUAGCUUCUGGGUAUUAAGAAGUUGAGGAUUUGAUUUUGGUAAAGGAAGAGACCGAGAUGGAGAGUUCAGAUAUGAUGGUUCCCGGUGGUGGUCACUAUUUGUUUCGGUUGCUGUAGUUUUCUGAUUGUAUUUGGAGUUUGAGUUUCUGGAAUUGAGUUUCAAUGGGAUACAAAUUUUAGAUUGCGAUGUGUUGAUGUCGGAAUUUGAGUUUGUUUUAGUUUCAGUUUGGUUUUGGGCUGCGGAUCAAAGUUACUUUCGGUUGAAAACGAUUGAAAAGAGACGGUUAGAUCGAGGAGUUUUUAAGAGAUGGUUGUCCAAUGAUAGGAGUGGGAGGGCCUUGAUUUCUCUUCCAAGGGCUAUUGUGGGUGGUCAGAAUUUUCCUAAAAGAAUCAAAGGAAUGAAGGCCAUUACUCGACGCACUAUGGCACGGUGAAGGACUUCACGGGUGGACGCAAUCCGCCGAAACACAAGGUUGAUAAAUGAUGGUUUUGAGUUGGAAUUGUCAAGGACUCGGGAAUAAGGCAACUAUCGGUUAUCUUCGGGAUAUAUGGAAACAACACUGGCCAAACUUUUUAUUUUUUUCGGAAACAAAACAACCUUCUUGGUUUAUGGAAAAAUGUAUCGUUCAUUUUGGUUAUAAAAAUUUAAAAACAGUUGAUCCUAUCAGUUGUACUGGUGGUUUAACACUUUAUUAUAAUAAUGAUUUUAAUGUUUCAAUUAUUUA